CUUCCAUUUUUUCUCUUAUAUAUACGACCAUCAGAAGAAAAGAGGAGGCGUGGAACUUUUGGGCAGCCAUUAGAGAGAGAAGUAGAGAAUGAAGAAGAAGAAAAGGAAAAAGAAAGAAGAGGAAGGAGAUUCAAAGAGGAGGACAAGAAGAGGACCACUUGGGGACACCUAUUGGGGAUUGAUUUGUCAUCCUUCUCUCAGUACUUAAGAUGUCUCAUCGGCAAGUCACCAUUAACUUUGUUCAACAUGACUCAGAGCCUUUACAUAGAGCAUGGUGGAGAUACAAAAAUUUGUUCAUGAGGUUCCCUUACCAUGGUUUGUCAAGAGAGUGUCUACUUGAAGUCUUUCUCAAUGGGUUGCAUGUUGGGAAAAACUUAUACAAGAUCUUUAUUUAUUUUCAUGUAAGUCUAAUAUUAAACAAAUUAAUAUGAGAUAACCUAGAACAUGUUUCUAAAAUUGAAUUCAAAGAGAAACAAUGAUAAGAAUACUUACAAUAUACGCAGUGGAAUGAAAGAAUCAUUCCUUUA